ensembl:snoRNA
UUCCACAGCUACUGGUCUGCAGCUGUUCUUAAUGGUGGCAGUUGUGGCAUUCCUCUGUGGGAAAGAAACUGUUACACAAUUAAACACCUCUUUCUUAGCAAAACAGAAAGCAGGCAUAUGUGUGACAAACAAGA